CGGGCGGACGGGUGAGUAACGCGUGGACAACCUGCCCUAUGCAGGGGGAGUAACAUCCGGAAACGGGUGCUAAUACCGCAUAAGCGCACAGUACCGCAUGGUACAGUGUGAAAAGCUGAGGCGGCAUAGGAUGGGUCCGCGUUGGAUUAGGCAGUUGGCGGGGUAACGGCCCACCAAACCGACGAUCCAUAGCCGGCCUGAGAGGGUGGACGGCCACAUUGGGACUGAGACACGGCCCAGACUCCUACGGGAGGCAGCAG
rnacentral:rRNA from 1 species